rnacentral:rRNA from 1 species
UGGGGAAUCUUCCGCAAUGGACGAAAGUCUGACGGAGCAACGCCGCGUGAGUGAAGACGGCCUUCGGGUUGUAAAGCUCUUUGAUCCGGGACGAAAGAGCCUGAGGGGAAUAGCCAAAGGAAGUGACGGUACCGGAAAAGCAAGCCACGGCUAACUACGUGCCAGCAGCCGCGGUAAUACGUAGGUGGCAAGCGUUGUCCGGAAUUAUUGGGCGUAAAGCGCGCGCAGGCGGCUUCCUAAGUCCAUCUUAAAAUUGCGGGGCUUAACCCCGUGAUGGGAUGGAAACUGGGAAGCUGGAGUUUCGGAGAGGAAAGUGGAAUUCCUAGUGUAGCGGUGAAAUGCGUAGAGAUUAGGAAGAACACCGGGGGCGAAGGCGACUUUCUGGACGAAAUCUGACGCUGAGGAGCGAAAGCGUGGGGAGCAAAAAGG